ACAACUAUUACCUGAUAUUUGUCUGUAUAAUGUUACUUGUUUGUAUAUGUUUUUAGAGUUGCUCACUUGAUAACGCAUAACCAACUGGGGAAGAUGUCACAUAUUCUCUCUCAUCUGAGGUUCCUAGCUUCAAAUUUUCAGCUGAGGCUGAAGUUACCUGGAUCAUUUGCUGCUCAUGAACCAAGUCAGAACAAAGAGUGAUCAAUCAAAAGGUGAUGGAUUAUUCUGACAAGAGACUGCAGGGAGCCAAAACCUGCUUGGAAUGACUUCAAAAAGAAUAGCAAAGCUGGACAUGAUGGUGCACGCUCAUUUACUGCCGGUAUCUGUGAGUUCAAAACUAGCCUGGACUCCAUAGUAAGUUCUAGGAUAGUCAAAACUACAUAGUGAGGACCCUGUCUCAAAAAAUAAGUGACAAACAACAAUUAUCCCCCCACACCAAACAAUACGACAGACUAAAUACUCUGAGACUCUCUUCCACUACUAAACAAAUUGAGCCUGGAUAGAAUAUAUCUUAUAGUCUACCAUUGAGGGAAAUCCUCAGACAGACCACGAGCUAAGUUCACAGUGGUGGACAGAAGGGCAAGGAGAUCUCAGUUUCAACCACGUCUUCCCAGAUAUCCUUUCAAGACCUAUAGAGCUAAAUCCAUGACUGGUAGUGGCCUAGACACUGGCCAUGGUCUUCAGCCUCCCAUGGAAGCUGUUUCAGAAUACUUGUUACCCACUUAUAUUCUUUAUUGUGACUCAUUACUUCGAACUCCCUCCUCUGGAACUGUAAGAAUUCAUAUAUCUAUCACUGAAAAGACACCCCACAAUUGCUAUGGCAACUAUGUGUUGGGGCACUUCUCUUUCUGAUGCCUUCCACAUGCACUUUUUCACAUGCUACCACUAGUGUUAGCUGACAAAUGAUCUGAAGCAGCAAGCCCUCAAUGUGGAUUGCUAGAGUUUUAGCUCCCGAAGGCAAGGAAGAAUAUUCUGCUUUCUGUUGAGAAAACUGCUAGUGGACUGUUGAAGAUGCAUCUGGGACACCACAGAGUUCUCCUGAUGUGGUGUUAGGUUGGAUGAUGCCAUGGUGACUGGACAGGUUCUCCCAGCUUUUCUUCUCAUCAUGAAGUCUGUAACAGCAAAUGAGGUAUGAGUAGCACAGGAGGCUGUUGACCCACUGACUUUCCUGUAGGCAUAUCAACUAUCCAGAUGAAUGCAAGAAUACUUAUAAAACCACACAUAUGCUAUCCUCCACCAGCCUGACCCCUACUGUGAAUCUCUCUGGGCCGGUGCCUGCUUAGAGUGGACCCGCUCAGGCAGGGAGGAGAUCCCUGAGUCGGGAAACACCUCACUCUUCCUACCCUCUCUGCUAAAAGUUCUAGCUAGAGCA